CAGUCGCCGCGGUAAUACGUAGGUGGCAAGCGUUGUCCGGAAUUAUUGGGCGUAAAGGGCUCGCAGGCGGUUUCUUAAGUCUGAUGUGAAAGCCCCCGGCUCAACCGGGGAGGGUCAUUGGGAACUGGGAAACUUGAGUGCAGAAGAGGAGAGUGGAAUUCCACGUGUAGCGGUGAAAUGCGUAGAGAUGUGGAGGAACACCAGUGGCGAAGGCGACUCUCUGGUCUGUAACUGACGCUGAGGAGCGAAAGCGUGGGGAGCGAACAGGAUUAGAUACCCCCGUAGUCCCUGUCUCUUAUAC
rnacentral:rRNA from 1 species